rnacentral:rRNA from 1 species
GCUAGCAGAAAUAGCACGUUGUAUCAGUUCCCAAUAGAUCACUGAAGUUGAGCAAUGUUGCGUGUGGUUGGUAUCCGGAUGGGUGACCAUCUGGACAAUCGCGUGUUGCUGGCU